AUAUAAAGUAAAAUUUAUAGGUUAUGUAACCAUAAGUUAUAAAAUGAUAGGACUUGAAUAUGUUUGUGUUUUAAAAUUUAUAACAUUAUUUUUGUUAAAAAAAUGAAAUAAUUUAUACUUUUUGUAUUGUUUUAUUUUCCAAAUGAUAUGAUUAAUUAUAUGGAGUAUCGUAUUAUGGGAAAAAUCUCACAAGUGCGCAUGAAGCCAGAUUGUAUGUCAAAGAAAUUCGAAUGCCAAGAAAAUAGAAAGAAACGUACAUGCAGCGAUAUCAAAUGACCAUAUAUGUUGAAAAAACAAAGAAUGUCAACAAUCACAGAGUGAACCAGAACAAAAUAUAAGUAGUACAUCAAGUUCAUCUAUCAAGGAUACUUCAACAAGUUCAGAUUUUCAAAAAGUUACAGGAAGAGGAUGUACCUGAAGCUUUGUUUGCACUGACAGCAGAUAAAUCUGUUCAAGUAUUAGUAACACACAAUUUCAGAAGUAAAGCUGUCCAAACUAAAAUAAAAUCAAUAGAAAAGGCAGUAUCAUUUUUGAAACCAUCACAAAUAUCUGUCUGCACAUCCCCAUUCAAACUAAUGAAAAUUAUAAAUUCAAGACCUGUGUCGGGCCUCGGCAAAAUUACAAUAUAUUUAUCAAAGCAGAGCAGUCUGAUAGUGAUGUUUCAUUAUAUGUACCAUCUGCAUCUACCUAUACAUAUACCUAUCUAUCUAAGAUUCAUUAAUAAAAUAAAACAAUUUUA
rnacentral:lncRNA from 1 species